rnacentral:rRNA from 1 species
ACGCUGGCGGCGUGCCUAACACAUGCAAGUCNAACGAGAAAGUUUCCUUCGGGGAAUGAGUAAAGUGGCGCACGGGUGAGUAACACGUGGAUAAUCUACCUCUAAGUGAGGGAUAACUUCGCGAAAGCGGGGCUAAUACCUCAUAAUAUUAUUUUCUCCUUGGGGAAGAUAGUCAAAGGUGGCCUCUGUUUCAAGCUAUCGCUAAGAGACGAGUCCGCGUCCCAUUAGUUUGUUGGUAAGGUAAUGGCUUACCAAGACUACGAUGGGUAGCUGGUCUGAGAGGAUGGCCAGCCACACUGGAACUGAGACACGGUCCAGACUCCUACGGGAGGCAGCAGUGAGGAAUCUUGCGCAAUGGGGGAAACCCUGACGCAGCAACGCCGUGUGAGUGAUGAAGGCUUUCGGGUCGUAAAGCUCUGUUAGGUGGGAAGAAAAGUUCUCGACCAAUAAUCGAGCAUCUUGACGGUACCACCAGAGGAAGCACCGGCCAACUCCGUGCCAGCAGCCGCGGUAAUACGGAGGGUGCAAGCGUUGUUCGGAAUUACUGGGCGUAAAGAGCGUGUAGGCGGCUAGUUAAGUCAGAUGUGAAAGCCCUGGGCUCAACCCAGGAAGUGCAUUUGAAACUAAUUAGCUAGAGUACGAGAGAGGAAGGUGGAAUUCCUGGUGUAGAGGUGAAAUUCAUAGAUAUCGGGAAGAAUACCGGUGGCGAAGGCGGCCUUCUGGCUCGAUACUGACGCUGAGACGCGAAAGCGUGGGGAGCAAACAGGAUUAGAUACCCUGGUAGUCCACGCCGUAAACGUUGGGCACUAGGUGUGGGAGGUAUUUAUUCC